rnacentral:lncRNA from 1 species
GCCGGAUUGGCCAAGGCCGACUCACCCUCGGGGAUCUUAAUGUCAAAAAGGAUAGGAAGGCCCGAUGACCUAUCAUCUGUCGAGGUUGUCGGUGCCUUCUCUCGAUCUCCGAUUGGCAGCCCCACUCUCGAGAACGUAGGAAAGUCAGUGCUCGACUGCGCCCAAGAGCGUUCCACUGGAGGAACAGCUGGUGCAGCCACAGAUUGUUCGGGUU